rnacentral:rRNA from 1 species
GGGUUGUGAGGUUAAGCGACUAAGCGUACACGGUGGAUGCCCUGGCAGUCAGAGGCGAUGAAGGACGUGCUAAUCUGCGAUAAGCGUCGGUAAGGUGAUAUGAACCGUUAUAACCGGCGAUUUCCGAAUGGGGAAACCCAGUGUGUUUCGACACACUAUCAUUAACUGAAUCCAUAGGUUAAUGAGGCGAACCGGGGGAACUGAAACAUCUAAGUACCCCGAGGAAAAGAAAUCAACCGAGAUUCCCCCAGUAGCGGCGAGCGAACGGGGAGCAGCCCAGAGCCUGAAUCAGUGUGUGUGUUAGUGGAAGCGUCUGGAAAGGCGCGCGAUACAGGGUGACAGCCCCGUACACAAAAAUGCACAUGCUGUGAGCUCGAUGAGUAGGGCGGGACACGUGGUAUCCUGUCUGAAUAUGGGGGGACCAUCCUCCAAGGCUAAAUACUCCUGACUGACCGAUAGUGAACCAGUACCGUGAGGGAAAGGCGAAAAGAACCCCGGCGAGGGGAGUGAAAAAGAACCUGAAACCGUGUACGUACAAGCAGUGGGAGCACGCUUAGGCGUGUGACUGCGUACCUUUUGUAUAAUGGGUCAGCGACUUAUAUUCUGUAGCAAGGUUAACCGAAUAGGGGAGCCGAAGGGAAACCGAGUCUUAACUGGGCGUUAAGUUGCAGGGUAUAGACCCGAAACCCGGUGAUCUAGCCAUGGGCAGGUUGAAGGUUGGGUAACACUAACUGGAGGACCGAACCGACUAAUGUUGAAAAAUUAGCGGAUGACUUGUGGCUGGGGGUGAAAGGCCAAUCAAACCGGGAGAUAGCUGGUUCUCCCCGAAAGCUAUUUAGGUAGCGCCUCGUGAAUUCAUCUCCGGGGGUAGAGCACUGUUUCGGCAAGGGGGUCAUCCCGACUUACCAACCCGAUGCAAACUGCGAAUACCGGAGAAUGUUAUCACGGGAGACACACGGCGGGUGCUAACGUCCGUCGUGAAGAGGGAAACAACCCAGACCGCCAGCUAAGGUCCCAAAGUCAUGGUUAAGUGGGAAACGAUGUGGGAAGGCCCAGACAGCCAGGAUGUUGGCUUAGAAGCAGCCAUCAUUUAAAGAAAGCGUAAUAGCUCACUGGUCGAGUCGGCCUGCGCGGAAGAUGUAACGGGGCUAAACCAUGCACCGAAGCUGCGGCAGCGACGCUUAUGCGUUGUUGGGUAGGGGAGCGUUCUG